AACGAACGCUGGCGGCAUGCUUAACACAUGCAAGUCGAACGGACCCUUCGGGGUCAGUGGCGCACGGGUGAGUAACGCGUGGGAACCUGUCGAGGAGUGGGGAACAACCACUGGAAACGGUGGCUAAUACCGCAUGUGCCCUGCGGGGCAAAGGUCUUAAAGACCGCUUUUCGAGGGGCCCGCGUCCGAUUACGCUGGUUGGUGGGGUAACGGCCUACCAAGGCUGCGAUUGGUAGCUGGUCUGAGAGGAUGAUCAGCCACACUGGGACUGGGACACGGCCCAGACUCCUACGGGAGGCGGCAGUGGGGAAUAUUGGACAAUGGGCGCAAGCCUGAUCCAGCAAUGCCGCGUGAGUGAAGAAGGCCUUAGGGUUGUAAAGCUCUUUCGCCCGCGACGAUGAUGACGGUAGCGGGAGAAGAAGCCCCGGCUAAUUCCGUGCCAGCCGCCGCCGUAA
rnacentral:rRNA from 1 species